rnacentral:siRNA from 1 species
GGAAUUGGUUAUAUGGUGGAUGU